UCCUUUUCUCUUGUGUUGACCUCUGAAUCACUUCUCCGCAGUUGCGUCCAUCGAAUUGAAUGAUGACAGCUGAAGAAGUUGAGGGCGUUGUGAGACCUGUGUUGUGUUUGUCCUUCUGUAUUUAAUUGCCACACCCACUACAACGUCGCGUCUAUCUUUGUGCCGUAGAAGGUUGAGGUACGGCUGGCACGGCCACGUGUUCCCUCGAAUAAUUGAGAACCACUGCCGUAAACCAUGCCGCUCAACACGGGCAUUCUGACAUCGUACAUACAGUAAAGGUGCGGACUUGAGCUCGUUGAACAACUCGUUUUCCUACACCACAGAACGACAUGUAAAUGAAGAAGCAGAGGAAGCGAUAAGCGGCCUGCCAGAGGCGAGAAAGGGAGAAAGAAGAAGCGUCCUGUUGCGUCAUCGCCGUAUUCCAUCGGACUGCUGCGGGCAUUGUGAAACACUGUGCAGUCAGAAAUAGCUAACAUGCCGAAGCGUCACUUUAGGCUGACAUACCAGGGAGAGGAAGCAGAGAGGAGCGCCCUGGUGAUGAGAAUUAUGGCCUACACUUUUCUCGUGGCUGUCCUUACUUUCGUCACGUUUAUGGUAGUCCAGGCCUUCUUCGAGCGCGUCAACAACCAGGGCGACGAUUCCUUCACACAACUGCCCAAAGUGCGCGAAUGGGAAAACAUCAACUCUACACCGGAGGACAGGAGCGAACCACGCAACGUUACCCAGACUUCCGUGCGUGUACUACGAACUAUAUUAACGUCGAGCCCAACGAAAGCCGAUGGGGUCAGCACCGCCGCAGCGGAUAGAUCAGGAAAUUUUUCGACCAUUAAUUUAGACGAAUUAAUAUAUGUUAGUGACGUGCCCUAUGCAAAUAACCGGACUCCCUUCAAUCGGACUUCAGGUUUCUCAACCUGAAAUACGUAAAUAAACUCAUUCACGAAUGCUG